CCAUCCCGCUCGCGCCCCCGCCCCACCUCCGCGCCGCCCGGGGUCGGCCCACGCGGCGCCGGCGCCCUAGCGCGUACGGCUCGCGCUUCCUAGCCCUCGGGGCGCCCCAGCCUUUGCGUGCUGGAUCCGGAGCCCGAAUACUCUGGCCUUGGGGAAUGGACCCAUUAAGCCUUCCCGGAAGCCUAAAGGGCGCUCGAGGCAGUAAGGCGGAGCUGAGGGGCCGCAUCAUUAAGCCCAGGGCUUAGGGUGGGUGGGCUCGUGCAGACACACACACAGAAUGUUCCCAAAGGCUCUACCCGGAGGCAUCCUUAGCUGACCAUUCACUGCGUUUUCGAUGGCAACUUGUUGCUUGGAUUCUAGUCAGGACCAAGUUCUUGUAUUUGAGGGGAAUUUGGAACCACGCUCUUUCCCACCCACUCAGAAGAUACUACCACGGUUCUACAAAUAAGACAUCUGCUCGUUCAAAGAAAACUAUCCAUUCUGGGCUUCAUGGAGUCAGUGAGUGUUUCCUGCUUAGCCCAGCAUGUACUGUGGGCUUAACUAAGGGGGAUGACAGAGGUCAGUCUUAUGCACCAACACUGUUUUGCCAGGCCCUCUACAAAACUGCAAAUGAGCUGCCCCCCUCCUCUCUGCAGGCUUUCAAGAUAACUCAGCGAUUUUCCAUGGUUUUGAGAUUGUGAUGCCCUUUAAUAUUGUUUUUCGCGCAAUGAAAUCUCAACCCACUGGGAUGCGACCCACAGAUGAUAAAGCAAAUACAAAUAUAUCUGCCUUAUCGCUGAAAAUCCCGACUCUGCUACUCAGAACACUGAGAGUCUAUUGUGGAACCUGGACUCUAGGAGCUAUAUUGAAAAUCAUCACUGGUUCUACAGAAUUCUAUUAUCUGGAAAAAUCCGCACUCAGAUACUAGUCAUUUGAGAAAGCACAAUCUCUUAUGUCCCUACGGAGACCUAGCUAACAUUUUGGGGAUAUGAUAUUAACUAUCUCCAAAAGGGCCCAUGGACUAUCCUGUUUUGAGAUUCUUCUGAUGUCUGAAGAAAGGGAACAGGUGGAUAUUAUGCUGAAAGAAGUACUUUCACAAAAUGAUGCCCAAGCAUCUUGCUCAAUUUAACUCAAAAUUUUAUUCAUUAUCUACAAGGUACCAGGCACGAAGCAAGCUGCUGAUGAUAUGGAGACCAAUAAAGCUUCAACUUCCCCUUAAGAAAUUCACAGUGUAGUGGGGAAGAUGCAAAAUAACUUUUAGACAAUCGAUAGUAGCAUACCAAUAGUACUGCAGAAACAGUGAUGAGAGAGCUGUUAAUUAGGGCCAGAAGCUCCUGAAAAAAGAGGUGACAGGUCAUUACAAGGAAGCCAUAUGGAAGUGCCAUUAACUCCAGUAACAGCAACAUUUAAGGAAUGAUUGAAGACCGGGGAGCCAGCAGGAAAGGACAGAAAAGAGCAGACAGAGAGGAGACAGAGAGGGAGACAGAUAAUCCGAAGCAGGCCCCUGGCUGUGAGCUGUCAGCACAGAGCCCGACGUGGGGCUCCAACUCAUGAACCAUGAGAUUGUGACCUGAGCCAAAUUCGGAUGCUUAACCGACUGAGCCACCCAGGCACCGCUAUAUGUUUCUCAUUUAUAUGCUUCUACUAAGUCCCAGCCAUGGCGCCUUGCACUCAACAUGUAUCAUCCUCCAAACAACCCAGAAAGGAAAUCCAGCUGCCAUGGGGAGACCCAUAUGGCAAUGAACUGCUGUCUCCAGCCAACAGUCAGAGAUGAUGGAGGUCUGCCAACAGCCACCUGAGUGAACUUGGAAAUGGAUCCUUCUCCAGUCAAGCCUUGAGAUGACUGCAGCCCCCACCAAUAGCUUGACCACAAUUUUGUGAAGAAUCCUGAACCAGAGUUACCCAGCUAAGCUGCUCCCAGAUUCUUGCCCCACAGAAACUGUGAGAUCAUAAAUGUUUAUUGCUAUCAACUGCUAAGUCUUGGGGUGAUUUUCUACACAGCAAUAAAUAACCAAUAUAGGUUGUUUACAUCUUCUUAAGAAAUUCUGUCUUAAGAAAUUCUGCUGGUUUAAUCCCAUGCUCAACUUUUAAAACUUGUUGCUAUAUCAGUCUUGAAGGGCCAAGUUCAGGCCAUGCAAGAAUGUGAACACAGAGCUGACUUUAGAGAAGUAUCUCUACAGGCAGGAUGAGUGUCACAAAUAAAUACUAUAAAUCACUUUCUUUAUCUUAAAAAAAAAUGUGUGGGAACGCCUUUCCUCAACAGAUGACAUGCCUCCACUUAGAAAAGCAGAAUCUUGUUCCUUCUCAAACAUGCUGAAAAGACAUUUCCUCAUUGGUUGUAUUGCAUAUUUGCAAUCUCCUCUCCUUUCAUCCCUGAUUCAAGGUCAGGCAUCUGUUGUUUGCUUUGUUCUCUGUGAGUGAAGCAGUGCGUGGAUUGGCAUUCAGGUGCAACCUUUUAUUCCUAGAAUAACGCUCUUCUUUGCUAAGCAUAUGGCCAGGUUUCCAUCAGUACUGACCCCAACAUGUAUUUUCUCAUGUAAUAAUUAUUACAGAUGAAAACUCUCUUCUCCCACAGCAUGAAUCUGCAGUGAUGAACAGAAUAAAGUGUCAUGGAGCAUCCUCCCAUUACUAUAUGUAGCACAUGUAUGCCAAAGGCUGUUUUGUACAUAGAACAUCAGCUGUUUCCUUCCUAUGUCUAGGGAAGUAUCUUCCAGGAUGCACACAUAAUAGUAAUUGCCCUUUUACAUUGUACGCUGUUGAAUUUUUGCAAUGGCCUAGAGCAUCGCUAGAUAAAGGACUUCUGUUUGCUUUCUCCUCAAGCAUAAAAUGUGUCAUUAGCUCCGUAAUUGGAUUUAUACCUUUUUGGCAAUAGAAUGAUUUAUAGCCUUGUUUUGCUGCAGAAAUGUAGAUUUCAAUCACGUUGCUAUAGUUAUGAUAUUUUCUGUCUGCCUUUAGAAACAAAAUUCAUCAAUUUGGAAAGCUCUUAUUUUGCUCUUAUUCUAGAAAAAAUAUUAUUUCUUUACUGAGGGGUCACCAUGUUUUGUUCAAAAAAGCCAGUAAAAAGUCACGGGUGGCUUUAUGCUUAUAUAUGAACAAGUUCAUAAUAAUACAUUGAGGAAUAGAGAUGAAUAAAUUGCUAGCCCAGUAACAUCCAAUUUUCAGGUACUCACUAUCCCUCUUAGAAUUUGGCUGCUAUUUUUUUGCCCACUUGUGCAAAAUAAUCACAUUUUCAGGUGUUUAUCCUAUAACAUACAGAAUCAUACUUUAUAUUUUCACUAGAGUCCUGUUCACUAUUUAUAAUGCUAUUUUUUACUUGUGGUAGUCACAUUACUAUAGUUGUGAUUUUAAAAAAAACUUUAAU